UUGAGUUCAGCUCAGGGCAGCUCCCCUGUUCUGUUAAUUAAACUCUGAGACAUCAAACUGGCUAGGGUGGAUCACUGCAUAGAAAAUAUUACUCUAAAAAAAAAAAAAAAAAAAAGAAAAUAUUACUCUACUCAUUUACCUCCCAGCCUAUAAAA
rnacentral:snoRNA from 1 species